ACAUCGCGCUUGAGCUUGGCUCGCCGGUUCUGGAACCAAGUGACCACCUGCGCGUUGGCCAGGCCGAGUCGCGUAGCUAGCCCGUCUCGCUCGGACGGCGCCAGGUACUUCUGGAAGACGAAGCGCCGCUCCAGCUCCAGCACCUGUUGCGCGGUGAACGCAGUGCGUGACUUGCGCCGUUUGCGGCCGAAGGGACCAGGGCCCAGCGCGUCCGGACCUGCCCGCCCUGUAGGGAUAGGGAGGGGGUCAGUUUCCAGCCUCCGGGAAUCAGGCUGGGCCUGGAAAGAAAAGUUGGGGGUGGGGUCGGGCCGGUGGCGGUGGGGGAAGUAGAGGGAGAGCCAGGAAGGCGGACGGAGACCAGAACUGUGAUCCCUUAUCGGGAGUCAGGCCCAGGUGGGGAUAUGGGGCGCAAAGCGGGCUGGCCACAGGGGUGCGAAAGGCAGCAGGCUGAGGGCAUAUUGUAGGGGCAAGGAAGUGAAGGAAGGGAGGGAUGAUUCAGAGGUGCAGGGUCAAACCUUCUGGGGUGGAGCCUUUGAGGCUUUUAGGAGCCUCAGGCUGAGCAGGCUAUAAGUUGAGGGUGACAUCAGAGGCGAGUAAGAGUCAGGGCAGCCGACCCAGCGUGGUGGUGGUAACAGGACUUAGAUCAUGCCCUUCCAUGGAUCGGGUCGGGCAUUCGGUUUACAGUUCCUUAGUGACACCAGAGCCCGCUCCUCCGGCCCCAAAGGGAGAUAAUGAGGUACAGAGAGCGAGAAAAGGCAGAGUGCGGAAUCCCGCGCCCAGUGCUGCGCCAAGGGCUUUCUGCUCCUUGACUCCCCUCGAGAAGAGAGUGGCUUGGAGCGGAGCUUGGUCACCCGGAAAGACUCGACUCUCCAGCGCUUUCUGUGCCGCCUUUGCAGGCUCACUCGUUUACCGCCUGCGGCUGAAGCCUUUUGUCUCUUUCUCUCCUGCCUUUCUCUAUCGCGAUUGCCCCGCCUACAAGGAACAGAGCAACAGGUCGCUCAGUUGGCGACGGUCUGCCCUUUUCCCUUGGCACUGGCGGCCUUCCGGAGCCGCCGCGGAACCUAGGGACUAACGGAGGAGAGCCUGCAGAGGCUCAGAAACUGCCAAGGGGAGCAAGGUGCCCUGACCAGAGAGGGGUCACUCCCCAUAGAAGAGAGACUUGAAGGGCAGACUUCACGGACCCAGCUGGAUCUUGGGACAUUCCUGACAACCCAGAAAGCGCUACUGCGGAGUGAACCGGUCCUUAUAUCUUAGUUUCGUGACUUUGGGGGCGGCAGGCCUGUGAGUUGUUUUCCGCCCUGGACGCUGUUUUGCAAAGAUCUCUGCGCGCCCACCGCCACCCUCCCGGGCGUGCGGGCCGGGAAGCAGCCAGCGGUGGGAAACUCCGACGCCCUCCUCGACACUUUUCUCCCCCCAACUCCCCAAGACUCACUUCUAGGGAAGUCCUUUUUCCCAUCAAGCCCUGGGAAAGACUGGCCAGGCUGAGAGAGGGACCCGUCCUCCUCUGUGCCAAAGGCGGGAGCAAAUCCUGGUGCUGUCGCCUUUGGAUGAAACUUUUCGCGCAGAAACUCCUGGAGAACAGCCCCGGCCGCCAGGUACUCGCCCGCCCGGACCGCAAAGCCCACAGAGCUUCAAUUCGCAGGAAGGGGAGUGGGGAGCCCUGAGCUGGGGUGUUCCUGGAAGAGGUCGGGGAGCGGGGGGAGAGGCAUUCCAGGCUGGAGGCCUGGAAACGUUUGGAAGCUUUGCUAACCUUGGAGACCAUGUCAGGAAAGAAGCGUACCCAGGCCGUCUGCUGUGUGCCCACCCCGAUCCCCAUCAGUGCCCCACGCACUCGAGCUCUUCUUCGGCGUCUGCAGCCUCUUCAUCCGCGCGGAGAGGCGGAGGUCUCCCGGAAACAGUGUCCGACUGUGGCACCCCAGAGCGUCCAAUGCGAGCUCAGGCCUUUCCCGCAAGUCUGGAGUUUUCUUAUCCAGUUGAGGCCGCCUUCGCUGUACUCACUCUCUGCCUCCCACCCCAUCUUCUGCCACCCGACCUCCAUCUUUGAUGGUUAGCGCCUUCAGCCCUCAACAGCUUCGCACAACCAACCCCUAGAAGCCGUGGAGUCAGACCGGCCAGGGUGGGACCUAGGUUUUAACUCGGGUUCUGGCUACACACGCUGCGCCUCCAUACAGUUUGUCCCAGGUUUGGCAGCAGGCCGGCUACCUUCAGGAAUUCUUUGCUUUGGCUUCUGUCUGUUCCUGUCUGUUGGGCAAGUUUCUAGCUACCCCACUGAGAGAACCAUAGAACAAGGACCCUGGCAUGGCAUACAGACAAGGAAUGUUUGCUGAAUUAAUGGAGCUGGUGCCUUGCAGCUUCCCUUUUGUUCCUUGAAGUUGCCCUUGCUCUCCUCCACAUCAGCUCCCUCUCCUCCUCAGCUACUUAUUCCCCACCCUGGCUUCUUCUAGUCGCAGUCCCCAAGUACUUGCUGAAUC
rnacentral:lncRNA from 1 species